GGAGAUACAGCUCUUUAAUUCAGAUAAAAGGCUUGGAAAGAGGAGACUCUCGGUGAUCUACGGUGACCCCAGAAAGCUAGAAGCCAGCCAAACAGCAGACUCAAGAAUUGAGACCUACAUGCCGCAUAACAAUGUCUCUGGAACAUUGUCAGCAACUUGAAGUAGCGCAUCAUCAGCCGUCAGGAAAGCUGUGAGCUUGCGUCCCUCAGAGUAGGUGGUGGCACCUAAUGGUCAACAGACAGACAGAGAUGUUCCAGUUACCCCAUCUCCCAGGAAACCUGAUUCUCUGGUGAUCCUGAAGCUCCUUUUAUCUUUUUAGUGAAAUAUUUUCCUUACGACUGCCAAAAUUGGAUUUUGAUGUUUGCAGCUAAAAAUUCAGACUCACAAAAUUUAUAUUAAAGUGCUGAAGCUGUUACCCAGGACUGUGAACUCCAGAUUCUAGUGUUCUUUCCACAUUCCUAUCUUCGUGUUCCAACAAUCCACAAUAUUUACAUUACGUAUUGAUGUCUCUGUAUCAGUUUCUUAACUGAAUUUCUAUGGGAGCUGAAAAUAAACAUUUUGAGUGGCUGCAUAAGGAGGCGGCUGUCAGUAGAACAUCCAGUUUCAAAGGCAGAAAUAGUAUGCAUCUGCUGUAUGAUUUUCUUCUUUCCUUCUCUGCAUGUGGUAUAUGUGCGUGUUUGUGCAUGUGCAUGGGUGGGGCAGGGGUCACCACUGAGCAUGUUUCUCUGUUGCUCUCCACCUUUCCCCCUCUUCCCUUUUAUUGAAAAUAAAUUAUUCUUAUACAAUA